AGUGAACGCUGGCGGUAGGCCUAACACAUGCAAGUCGAACGGCAGCACAGGAGAGCUUGCUCUCUGGGUGGCGAGUGGCGGACGGGUGAGGAAUACAUCGGAAUCUGCCCAGUCGUGGGGGAUAACGUAGGGAAACUUACGCUAAUACCGCAUACGACCUUCGGGUGAAAGAGGGGGAUCGCAAGACCUCUCGCGAUUGGAUGAGCCGAUGUCGGAUUAGCUAGUUGGCGGGGUAAUGGCCCACCAAGGCGACGAUCCGUAGCUGGUCUGAGAGGAUGAUCAGCCACACUGGAACUGAGACACGGUUCAGACUCCUACGGGAGGCAGCAGUGGGGAAUAUUGGACAAUGGGCGCAAGCCUGACCCAGCCAUACCGCGUGGGUGAAGAAGGCCUUCGGGUUGUAAAGCCCUUUUGUUGGGAAAGAAAUCUUUCAGGCUAAUACCCUGGGAGGAUGACGGUACCCAAAGAAUAAGCACCGGCUAACUUCGUG
rnacentral:rRNA from 1 species